UUGGAAUGCAUCCCAUCUAACAUGCUUGUUUAGACCAUUGCAUGCAAUUGUCCUGGUUGUAAUUAAGCAUGAGAGAAAGGAACGGCACUACAUCGAUGUGCAAAGUGUUCAGACACCGUAGCACACCUGGCAUUUGCGUGUUUGUUUGCACGUCGAGUCGUGCGUGAGUGAGUGGUGCGUCGGUGGAGCUAUGAAUGGGCAGAGAGGGGUGUUCUCUCACACACACCGUCACAGCUCUGGGAUGAGGAGUGCCAUCUACUCUACUGCACGUCUGCUGUGCUGCUGAGAGGAAAGAAGACAAGGGGAGAGAAGGAGCUUUACUGUUGUCCAAGAAUUUUCAAAAGCACAAGGUCAGUCUUUAGCACUGAACUGGAAAAAUCUCCACUCAGCCAUGGAGCAGAAGACAAAUGAGUGUCCCACCUCUACCUCUCCUCAGAAGCACAUGAAGAACAGGUCUAAAUCCACAGAGGAGAUGCAACAGUCCAGGAAGGCAUUUUCCUCACAAAAGUCACUGCCAGGCAGGCCUGAUCUGGAAAAAGUGAAGGAGUGUCUCGAUGGCUCUGACACGCCUUCGUCCUCCACAGAAGAGUUGAAGUGAAAAAUGGCAUCGACAUCGAGCCAUAUACAAGUUAAAGUUACACAUAUAAAAUGUACAUAUGUCAACAAAGAAAAUGCCAAACAAUUCUGAUCAUAGAUGACUAGAAUCUACUCAAGCUGUGAAUUUCAUGCUGAAUCAACCUUAACUAAAGUCCAAAUCUGAUGAAGUUGUGUCAUUGUGCUGUGACUGAUAUAACUGUAAUUAAAGUGAAGUGAUGUUGGACAAA